GUUAAUGAUAUUACACAGUGAAUAGUAGUUAAUGACGUUACACAGUGAAUAGUAGUUAAUGAUGUUACACAGUGAAUAGUAGUUAAUGAUGUUACACAGUGAAUAGUAGUUAAUGACGUUACACAGCGAAAAGUAGUUAAUGAUGUUACACAGCGAAUAGUAGUUAAUGACGUUACACAGCAAAUAGUAGUUAAUGAUGUUACACAGCGAACAGUAGUUAAUGACGUUACACGGCGAAUAGUAGUUAAUGACGUUACACAGCGAAUAGUAGUUAAUGAUGUUACACAGUGAAUAGUAGUUAAUGACGUUACACAGUAAAUAGUAGUUAAUGACGUUACACAGCGAAUAGUAGUUAAUGAUGUUACACAGCGAAUAGUAGUUAAUGACGUUACACAGUGAAUAGUAGUUAAUGAUGUUACACAGUGAAUAGUAGUUAAUGACGUUACACAGCGAAUAGU
ensembl:lncRNA